CCUAGGGAUGGGAAGGAAAUAUGCUUCUUUUCAACUCUACUAUUUACAGGUUCCAAGGAUUAGGACAGCAUGUUUGAGGGCCAUUAUUCCGACAACCACACCAACAAAGGAUCCUUCAAAGGACAUAAAGUGACUUCGCCUUUCAGAAGACAUAUGGCACAGUCUGAAGACAUUUUUGAUUGUCAUGAAUGAGGGAUGGGGCUCUUCGCCAUUCAAAUCCUCCCUACACAGUGAAGCAUUAUCCAUCUCUGGUACUGGCAAGGGCAAAACUCAGACUUUUGUUGAUGGCAUCUGGAUGCAAUCGUCUUUGAGUACAUCAGCUUGUUGCAGGAUAACACAGAGCACUAUCAUUGACUCUCAUCGUGGCAAAGCAGAUGUUCCUUGGCCUUGUGCAAGCCCCACCUGCACCACUCUGGAUGUCCCUGACUGCAAGACACACAGUCAAGAGGUCCUAAUGUCAGUCACUUGUGCUCUCUAAAAGUGUAGUGCCUCUUUUUCUUUGUCUGCUUUAGACUGUCACGUUAAGGGGAAACAGUGUAUGAAUGCCAAAUAAAAGAAAAGCAACUAAAAUUGGUAGACAUGCCUUUUUUAGCUUCAGAGAAGUCAGCAUUUAAUCCAGACAUUUAGUGCCUUGGUUUUUAUUCAAAAUUUAAGACAGACUUUUACACAGAUAAAUGAUUGCACUGACAAGACCCUCUGGGACACUA
rnacentral:lncRNA from 1 species